CCUACGUGGGUCAGCAGUAGGGACUAUUGCUCCAUGUGGGAAACCCUGACGCCGCAACGCCGCGUGUAGGCUGAAGGUUUUCGGAUUGUAAACUCCUUUUGUUAGAGAAGAUAAUGACGGUAUCUAACGAAUCAGCACCGGCUAACUCCGUGCCAGCAGCCGCGGUAAUCCGGAGGGUGCAAGCGUUACUCGGAAUCACUGGGCGUAAAGAGCGCGUAGGCGGGAUAGCAAGUCAGAUGUGAAAUCCUAUGGCUUAACCAUAGAACUGCAUUUGAACCUGUUAUUCUAGAGUAUGGGAGAGGUAGGUGGAAUUCUGGGUGUAGGGGUAAAAUCCGUAGAGAUCAAGAGGAAUACUCAUUGCGAAGGCGACCUGCGAGAACAUAACUGACGCGGAUGCGCGAAAGCGUGGGGAGCAAACAGGAUUAGAUACCCGUGGAGUC
rnacentral:rRNA from 1 species